AAAAAACCUGAGGAGAACUAGGCAGCUUUCUGAUCAGAGUUCAGAUAAAGAGGGCACAGUCAUUUUCGGGCACUGCCUAAAAUAAUCCAACGGGUUAGAGAGCUCCAGCAAAAGAAGCAAACUGACAAACUAAAAAAGAGCCAAACAAAGAUGAUGAGUUUUAUGAGAUUAUAAACGGCAAGGGGAGAAAACAGCACCCGAAUGGGAAGCUAACAUCCGAAAGUCAUUUUCUAAAACUUCAUUCAGCACAGGAACAAUGCAGCAUUCAGGCAUAAUGAGCUGAAAGUGCCCGGUGCGCCAGGUCAAGUCGGCAACCUCUGAGCUCCUCUCCAAGAGCCGUUUGCCAAGGUCAGGGAGUAUCUCAAAAAUAGUGUUCUGUGGAAUAAACCCUGUGAAGCUGUGGGUAAG